rnacentral:rRNA from 1 species
CAGCAGCCGCCGCGUAAUUCCAGCUCUGUAAGCGUAUACCAAAGUUGUUGCAGUUAAAACGCUCGUAGUCGGACUUUGGCGGGCGACCAGGGGCGUCUUCACGGACGUGUUUUGGUUGGCCGCCUUUGUGGAGGGGGGCCCAGUGGUGCUUCACUGCGCUACUGUGGUCGCUGCCACCUUUUACUGUGAAAAAAUUAGAGUGUUCAAAGCGGGCGUUUGCCAUGAAUACAUUAGCAUGGAAUAAUAGAAUAGGACCUGUCUCCUGUUUUGUUGGUUUGUGAGGAUCGGGUAAUGAUUAAGAGGGACGGUUGGGGGCAUUUGUAUUCCGGCGUCAGAGGUGAAAUUCUUGGAUUGUCGGAAGACAAACGGCUGCGAAAGCGUCUGCCAAGGACGUUUUCAUUGAUCAAGAACGAAAGUAAGGGGAUCGAAGACGAUCAGAUACCGUCGUAGUCUUUACUAUAAACGAUGAGGACUGGGGAUCGGGCAGGACUGACUUUUGGCCUGCCCGGCACCCUUCGGGAAACCAAAGUGUUUGCUUUCUGGGGGGAGUAUGGUCGCAAGGCUGAAACUUAAAGGAAUUGACGGAAGGGCAUCACCGGGUGUGGAGCCUGCGGCUUAAUUUGACUCAACACGGG